rnacentral:rRNA from 1 species
GCCUAAUACAUGCAAGUCGAACGGUCUUUCUAUGGAAGCUUGCUUCCACUGAGAAGAUAGUGGCGAACGGGUGAGUAACACGUGGGUAACCUGCCCAUAAGAGGGGGAUAACAUCCGGAAACGGGUGCUAAUACCGCAUAGUUUUCUUGAUCGCAUGAUUGAGAAAGGAAAGACGGCCUUUGUGCUGUCGCUUAUGGAUGGACCCGCGGCGUAUUAGUUAGUUGGUGAGGUAACGGCUCACCAAGACGAUGAUACGUAGCCGACCUGAGAGGGUGAUCGGCCACAUUGGGACUGAGACACGGCCCAAACUCCGUACGGGAGGCAGCAGUAGGGAAUCUUCCGCAAUGGACGAAAGUCUGGCGGAGCAACGCCGCGUGAGUGAAGGUAAAGGGUUUUCGGAUCGUAAAACUCUGUUGUCAGAGAAGAACAAGUUGGAGAGUAACUGCUCCAGCCUUGACGGUAUCUGACCAGGAAGCCACGGCUAACUACGUGCCAGCCGCUGC